rnacentral:rRNA from 1 species
GGAUCCAGACUUUGAUUCUGGCUCAGGAUGAACGCUAGCUACAGGCUUAACACAUGCAAGUCGAGGGGAAACGACAUCGAAAGCUUGCUUUUGAUGGGCGUCGACCGGCGCACGGGUGAGUAACGCGUAUCCAACCUGCCCAUCACUUGGGGAUAACCUUGCGAAAGUAAGACUAAUACCCAAUGACGUCUCUAGAAGACAUCUGAAAGAGAUUAAAGAUUUAUCGGUGAUGGAUGGGGAUGCGUCUGAUUAGCUUGUUGGCGGGGUAACGGCCCACCAAGGCUACGAUCAGUAGGGGUUCUGAGAGGAAGGUCCCCCACAUUGGAACUGAGACACGGUCCAAACUCCUACGGGAGGCAGCAGUAAGGAAUAUUGGUCAAUGGACGAGAGUCUGAACCAGCCAAGUAGCGUGCAGGAUGACGGCCCUAUGGGUUGUAAACUGCUUUUAUAAGGGAAUAAAGUGAGUCUCGUGAGACUUUUUGCAUGUACCUUAUGAAUAAGGACCGGCUAAUUCCGUGCCAGCAGCCGCGGUAAUACGGAAGGUCCGGGCGUUAUCCGGAUUUAUUGGGUUUAAAGGGAGCGUAGGCCGGAGAUUAAGCGUGUUGUGAAAUGUAGAUGCUCAACAUCUGCACUGCAGCGCGAACUGGUUUCCUUGAGUACGCACAAAGUGGGCGGAAUUCGUGGUGUAGCGGUGAAAUGCUUAGAUAUCACGAAGAACUCUGAUUGCGAAGGCAGCUCACUGGAGCGCAACUGACGCUGAAGCUCGAAAGUGCGGGCAUCGAACAGGAUUAGAUACCCUGGUAGUCCGCACGGUAAACGAUGGAUGCCCGCUGUUGGUCUGAAUAGGUCAGCGGCCAAGCGAAAGCAUUAAGCAUCCCACCUGGGGAGUACGCCGGCAACGGUGCAACUCAAAUGAAUUGACGG